rnacentral:rRNA from 1 species
UACGUAGGGGGCUAGCGUUGUCCGGAAUUAUUGGGCGUAAAGGGCUCGUAGGCGGUCUGUCGCGUCGGUAGUGAAAACUCAGGGCUUAACCCUGAGCCUGCUUCCGAUACGGGCAGACUAGAGGUAUGCAGGGGAGAAUGGAAUUCCUGGUGUAGCGGUGAAAUGCGCAGAUAUCAGGAGGAACACCAGUGGCGAAGGCGGUUCUCUGGGCAUUACCUGACGCUGAGGAGCGAAAGUGUGGGGAGCGAACAGG